CCCCUGCCCAGUAUACAUGAUCACAGCCACGUCAACAGUGGGCGUCAGGCUUGUAAGAGACAUGAAUUAUAUGUGAGCUUUAGUGACCUAGGCUGGAAGGACUGGGUCCUGGCUCCUACGGGUUAC